AAACUGAAGAGUUUGAUCCUGGCUCAGAUUGAACGCUGGCGGCAUGCCUAACACAUGCAAGUCGAACGGAAACAGGACGCUAUGAUCUCUUCGGAGUGAAUUUGUCGCUGUCGAGUGGCGGACGGGUGAGUAAUGCAUAGGAAUUUGCCUUGAAGUGGGGGAUAGCCCGGAGAAAUCCGGAUUAAUACCGCAUAUGCUCUACGGAGCAAAGUGGGCCUCUGAUUUAAGCUCAUGCUUUGAGAUAAGCCUAUGUCGGAUUAGCUUGUUGGUAGGGUAAAAGCCUACCAAGGCGACGAUCCGUAGCUGGUUUGAGAGGAUGAUCAGCCACACUGGGACUGAGACACGGCCCAGACUCCUACGGGAGGCAGCAGUGGGGAAUAUUGGACAAUGGGCGCAAGCCUGAUCC
rnacentral:rRNA from 1 species